UGAUACCAGGGUCAAAAGGUCAGAAGUUCGACGCAAGCUUGCUUGCAGGAGAAUUUUUGACCUUGGGACCCGCCAAAAACAUGAGUAAGUAGCCAUUUUUCAAAGAAAAAUGAGCG
rnacentral:sRNA from 1 species